CCUUGCUUCAGCCCUCUCCUGGGGUUGGGGUCCUUGUCUCUGGGAAGAAGAACUUCAUGGAUGGCCCCUGCAGGGCCAGGGACCUCAGGCAUGGCCACGGCCCAUCUCUGCACUUUGGUCCAGUCAUUUUGGCCCAGAAGCAGCGCCUGGCUGUCUUCUCAGCCUCUGAGCCCCUUGGUCUCUCUUGCUCCUUACUAACUGUUGCCUUAGUUCUCAGUUAAGGACUUAGCCCCUCAACUGUAGGAGAGAAACUCCUUCGGGCAAAUCUGACAGCUGGAACCAACAGGAAAUGGGGACCACGGCAGGGAGGCCAGCGCUCCCGGGCUGAGCAGGGCUGGGUGGUGUGGUGUGGGGGCAACGUCCACCACAGGCAGCAAAAGGGGACUCGUUUUCAAAAGCUGUGCUUUGGGGCACGAGGCAGAAAGUGGGUUUUUUUCCACCUUCUCCCAGGGACAAACAGCAGUGCCUCUGUGGGGGACAGAAGAUAAAAUACUUGCUGGGUUCUGAUUAGAAAUUUUAAGAAAGAUGUUGAUAUCUGUCCAAACUCCUGCCCCCGAGUGGCUGGGGGUGUGGAGGCCGAGGAUAAGAAGGGAGGUGUCCUCUGUGGCUCCGAUAAGCAGGUGAGCUUCUGCCUUCUUCAUGGGGCCGUCGGGCUCCGUCAUGAAUGGUGUAGCCCAAGUCUGGGUUAGAGGUGUCAGCUGGGUAUCUGGCAAUGCCAGGCCAUGAAGCAGAACGGAGGCGGCGUGGCUCCGGGUCACCAGGGCAAACAGGCUCCCAUCCGGGGGGCGCUGCUAGUGCCCCAGCUGUUCCAGUCUGUCCUGGGGCCACCAGGAGGUCUCUCCACAAAACCCCAUCAGAGACCACCUUCAGUUUCAGGUCCUCUCCCCCUGGCUGGGCCCCAGGAAGACACCUUGUGCUGAGUUCAGGGUGACAUUGGGCUCUGGCCGCAGGAAGCGGGCCCUCCUCACCAGCACGACACUGGUCGGUGUCCACUUCACUGGUCUGCCUCCAACUGUGCCUGUAAAGAGGGGAAAAAAUUAAGGGAGAGAGUGUGGAGGUAAAAAAAACAGACCUGGAAGACAGACUGCAUGGAAACGGGAGAGGAUGAGCUCACUCAGGGGAAAAAUUUGCGAAUGGAAGCCUGGAAUUGAAUUUUUGAAGAAUGGUGAAAGAUCGGGGGAUACUGAAUAGUUCAUUGAAGAACUAAUGCACGUAUGGUGAAUGAGCAAAACGAUUAAAGCAAGCCAUCAAAGGAAAAACUGUAAGAAGUGAGAAUGGCACUCGUAGAACGUGAGUGCUAAGGUAGGGCCAGUGGGACAAAGGCAAAGCAGGAAAUCUUCCCCGGAUUAACCAUGUGAGCUUCACUCAAAAAAGUACUCAUCUAUAAAGUGAAGAUGACAACGAUAGUAUGUACUUCACAGAAUUCUUGUGAUUAAAUGAAUCUACACCUGUAUAGCUCAUAAUAUGGUACCUGGCACCUAACUCUAUAUGUGUUUGCUAUUAUUAUAAUAACUGGACUCAGACUCCAAAAAUCCUGAGCUUGAGUCCUAGCUCAGUCAAGUCCCUUCACCUAUCUUCAUCUCCCUCAUGUGAAAUAAUAAAACUGACUUUUCAGGGUGCCUGUGAAAGAAGAUACCCGAAAGGGCUUUGAGAAAUGUAAAACACGGUACAAAUGGAUGACAU